GUCGAUGGUACCGUAUGAAUAAGCAUCGGCUAACUCCGUGCCAGCAGCCGCGGUAAUACGGAGGAUGCAAGCGUUAUCCGGAUUUAUUGGGUUUAAAGGGUGCGCAGGCGGAAUGAUAAGUCAGUGGUGAAAUCCUACGGCUCAACCGUAGAACUGCCAUUGAUACUGUCGUUCUUGAGUACAGUUGUAGUGGGCGGAAUAUGUCAUGUAGCGGUGAAAUGCAUAGAUAUGACAUAGAACACCGAUCGCGAAGGCAGCUCACUAAGCUGAAACUGACGCUGAGGCACGAAAGCGUGGGGAGCAAACAGGAUUAGAUACCCUGGUAGUCCACGCUGUAAACGAUGAUUACUCGUUGUUGGCGAUACACUGUCAGCGACUGAACGAAAGUAUUAAGUAAUCCACCUGGGGAGUACGAUCGCAAGAUUGAAACUCAAAGGAAUUGACGG
rnacentral:rRNA from 1 species